UUGACGUGAACACCUCCGACUGGCCAGCAGUCAGGACCGGCAGGGGGGGAUUUCGGGAGCCCCAGAAUCCCGGCUCCCUUUUCUAGUCCCUAGAAACUCUCAGGCACUGGGAGUAGAGACAAAAAUGAAACUAUUUCUGCCAUUCAAGAGCUUGCGUUCCAUCAAAGGACUCGGUACAUGUUUGUGGAAAAUGAAUUGAUGAUGAUGAAAAGUGCGCUGAAAGAUGCGGAUUGUGAUCAAGAAGUGAAAGAAAGCAGUGAAAGAAGUGAGUGAGCUCUGAGGAAUCAGGGGUGGGGGUGGACAGGGGCCAGCGUUUCCUCUACACCUCGGUUCUGUUUGAAUGCACGGCCAAGCACACCCUCGGCCAGCAGUAACGCAAGGAAGAAUACACAGCCUCUAUUUGUCUAACAACCAGAGAAGGUAAACAGAGCCA
rnacentral:lncRNA from 1 species